rnacentral:rRNA from 2 species
ACUCCUACGGGAGGCAGCAGUGGGGAAUAUUGCACAAUGGGCGCAAGCCUGAUGCAGCCAUGCCGCGUGUAUGAAGAAGGCCUUCGGUUUGUAAAGUACUUUCAGCGGGGAGGAAGGUGCUGAGGUUAAUAACCUCAGCAAUUGACGUUACCCGCAGAAGAAGCACCGGCUAACUCCGUGCCAGCAGCCGCGGUAAU